rnacentral:rRNA from 1 species
AUUGAACGCUGGCGGCAUGCCUUACACACGCAAGUCGAACGGCAGCACGGGUGCUUGCACCUGGUGGCGAGUGGCGAACGGGUGAGUAAUAUAUCGGAACGUACCUUAUUGUGGGGGAUAACGCAGCGAAAGCUGUGCUAAUACCGCAUAAUCCCUAAGGGGGAAAGCGGGGGACCGUAAGGCCUCGCGCAAUUAGAGCGGCCGAUACCUGAUUAGCUAGUUGGUGAGGUAAAGGCUAACCAAGGCAACGAUCAGUAGCUGGUCUGAGAGGACGAUCAGCCACACUGGGACUGAGACACGGCCCAGACUCCUACGGGAGGCAGCAGUGGGGAAUUUUGGACAAUGGGGGCAACCCUGAUCCAGCAAUGCCGCGUGAGUGAAGAAGGCCUUCGGGUUGUAAAGCUCUUUUGUCAGGGAAGAAACAGCAGCUCUAACACAGUUUGCGAAUGACGGUACCUGAAGAAUAAGCACCGGCUAACUACGUGCCAGCAGCCGCGGUAA